AGGCUAAGAGCUUCAUCUAUUUGUUGAAAGGUGGCUUAUCUGGAUAAAAUGGAUUAAGUCAAAGCUCAGUCCAGAUUGAUUGGAUCCUCUCAUCUUUCUUUCUUGAGAGAUCAAACUCUAUAUAUAUGAUCUCGAUCAUCCACUAGAUAUAUUUGAAUAGUCUUAGUAAUUAUCUCCCUUUCAUCUUUGGAGAUAAACCAAAGACUAAUAGACAAAAUUUGAUAUAAAUUUCAAUUGCUUGAAUGUAAAGGAUACUCCUCUAAAACGAUGUGAUCGAGCUUUCGGGAUUACAAUCAAGAUUGAAGUUAAAAUUAACUAAAUAAACUCUUAAACAUCGUUGAAUGAUUGUCCAAUGUGUUGUUCAUGUUGGAAAAAUGUGACUUAGAUUAUAACAUUUUGAAAUCUCACAUCAGAAACGUGAGGAGUUAUCUUUGGAUUAUAAGAAACAUGAAGAGUUAUCCUUAGGUUAUAAUGAAUGAUACUAUACAUACUAAUGCCGAGAUCUUUUGUGUUAAAACCUCAUACCCAUUUCACAUCCGAGUGACUAAACUAGAGACAAUAUUUGCAUUUAUGGACCUGUGUGUGAGGCCAUCGGGGCCCAUCGGCCGCUUCCGCAUAACAAGUGGUAUCAGAGCUCAUGUGACGCUUGAGACUUGGUGUCACACCACUUAGAAACGAAAAACCACCUAUAGCUAAAAAUUACAAUCCAUCGAUCAAAGAUUCAAAUAAUAUACGGUUUUUUAAUUUCUCUUUGGCACUUAAAUUUCGAGAUAAUUUAUACAACUGAAGUGGGUGUUAGGUUGAUCAGCAAUAUGGGUAAACCUAUGACACAACAAAUUAGUAUAGCUUUAUGAAUUGAUCGCAAUUUUAAUUAGUUUUGUUCAAAAUUGGGAGUGUCAUAUCUUGCGUCAUAUCUAUAAGUUAAGCAGAAAAUGGCAAACGACAACAACUCAUGUUCUUCUAUAUAUCCAUGCGAUGCAAUUAUACGUGGGUUGCGUUGCGUGCUGCAUAAACUUCUUGCUCUAAUUAGUUUUCAUCUUCUGCAACAAGUAAUCCCAUUUCAAUUAGUUAAUUACUUAAUCAAGACCCUGCCUCACUUAGUCUCAAACCACACUGCCGCUGCUGCUAAUUUAAAUCAAACUUAAUUAUUAUAAAUCUUGACAAGAAAACAAACACACUACGAGCAAAUAUAAUAGCUAGGGUUUAUAUCAUACUCAACCUCUGAAUCCCCAGAACCACAUAAUGACAAUCCACGUCUG
rnacentral:lncRNA from 1 species